rnacentral:sRNA from 1 species
AUCGUAUGUGGUUUUAAAACUAUACCAAUUCUAGUAAUAUAUAUAUGUUGUAAGAGACAAUGAAGAAUUUUUACCAAGUAGGAAUAUGGUUGUUGAUUUUUGUUUUCAUUAACUUUUAGGGAAAUAGGGGAUCAGUGGCAUUUGGCAAUUCAAGAAGCAAUUUUAGAAAAAUGCAGUGAUAAUGAUGGCAUUGUUCACAUUGCAGUAGACAAAAAUUCACGUGAGGUAAAGUAACUUUUGGUAUUGAAUUUCACGUUUUGGAUUUGUUGCUAUUAAACUAAGACUAUUUUCUUUCUUUUUUAAUAUCACAGGGUUGUGUAUAUGUUAAAUGUCUGUCUCCAGAAUAUGCUGGAAAGGCUUUUAAAGCAUUGCAUGGCUCUUGGUUUGAUGGGAAAUUGGUUACAGUAAAAUAUUUACGACUAGAUAGAUACCACCAUCGCUUUCCCCAGGCUCUCACUUCCAACACUCCAUUGAAGCCAUCAAAUAAACAUAUGAACUCUAUGUCUCAUCUUCGUCUUCGGACUGGCCUAACCAAUUCUCAAGGAAGUUCCUGAAAAGAUUUUCUUCCAUUUCUAAGACUGUUAUUUACAAUAGGAAAAUUCCUGUUUGGCUUUUUGUC